rnacentral:rRNA from 1 species
UACGAAGGGGCUAGCGUUGCUCGGAAUUACUGGGCGUAAAGCGCGCGCAGGCGGCUAUCCAAGUCAGUGGUGAAAGCCCGGAGCUCAACUCCGGAACUGCCAUUGAAACUGUUUAGCUUGAGGAUGAGAGAGGUGAGUGGAAUUCCCAGUGUAGAGGUGAAAUUCGUAGAUAUUGGGAAGAACACCGGUGGCGAAGGCGGCUCACUGGCUCAUUACUGACGCUCAGGCGCGAUAGCGUGGGGAUCAAACAGG